GACGAACGCUGGCGGCGUGCUUAACACAUGCAAGUCGAACGAAGAGCGAUGGAGGCUUGCUUCUAUCAAUCUUAGUGGCGAACGGGUGAGUAACGCGUAAUCAACCUGCCCUUCAGAGGGGGACAACAGUUGGAAACGACUGCUAAUACCGCAUACGAUCUGACCUCGGCAUCGAGGAUAGAUGAAAGGUGGCCUCUACAUGUAAGCUAUCACUGAAGGAGGGGAUUGCGUCUGAUUAGCUAGUUGGAGGGGUAACGGCCCACCAAGGCGAUGAUCAGUAGCCGGUCUGAGAGGAUGAACGGCCACAUUGGGACUGAGACACGGCCCAGACUCCUACGGGAGGCAGCAGUGGGGAAUCUUCCGCAAUGGACGAAAGUCUGACGGAGCAACGCCGCGUGAGUGAUGACGGCCUUCGGGUUGUAAAGCUCUGUUAAUCGGGACGAAAGGCCUUUUUGCGAAUAGUGAGAAGGAUUGACGGUACCGGAAUAGAAAGCCACGGCUAACUACGUG
rnacentral:rRNA from 1 species